UUUCUUGUGGCUCAGUUGGUAGAGCAUUGUGCCAACAACGCAAAUGUCGUGGGUUAAAAUCUUAGGGAUAGAU